rnacentral:pre_miRNA from 1 species
AGCAUACUCCCUCCAUCCGAAAAAGCUUGUCCCUCAAAUGGAUGUAUCUAGCACCAAGUUAGUGCUACAUACAUCCAUUUGAGGGACAAGCUUGGGACAAGUUUUUUCGGAUGGAGUGAGUACAAU